rnacentral:piRNA from 1 species
UUCUGUAUAAAUCAGUCAUCUUAGUUCCUU